UUAGGAGAAAAAAAAAGGUUUUCUAACAAAGUGUAUUAAUUAAAUGUUACAACCUUGGAUUUUUGUAAAUUGAAUAAUAAGCACUCAUAAGGGUAAGUACAUGUGAAUUGAACAUUGCGUCAUUGAUCCCAGAUACUCAGGAAACCGGUCCAUACAUGAGAACAGAUAAUUCAUUUUUGACGCUCAUAUUGCAUCCAUUUUUGGUGAUUUUUGGAUUCAGCACAUGAAAAUGACUCUAAAACAGUUGGAAAACCUCAGACUAUUUUUUGCCCGUUGACCCCAGUGUAAUCAAGCAGCUAUUGUACAGGUUUCUUGGACAAUGCGUCUACGUUUGGAUCAAAUUUGGCUU